rnacentral:rRNA from 1 species
CUACGGGCGGCAGCAGUAGGGAAUAUUGGACAAUGGGCGAAAGCCUGAUCCAGCAACACCGCGUGCACGAUGACGGCCUCCGGGUUGUAAAGUGCUUUUAGAGGAGAUGAGAAAGGACAGUAUCCUCUGAAUAAGCCUCGGCGAACUACGUGCCAGCAGCCGCGGUAAAACGUAGGAGGCAAGCGUUAUCCGGAUUUAUUGGGCGUAAAGCGCGUGCAGGCGGUCUAGCAAGUUGGAUGUGAAAGCUCCCGGCUCAACUGGGAGAGGUCGUUCAAUACUGUUAGACUAGAGAAUAGGAGAGGGAGGUGGAAUUCCGGGUGUAGUGGUGAAAUGCGUAGAUAUCCGGAGGAACACCAGUGGCGAAAGCGGCCUCCUGGACUAUUUCUGACGCUAAGACGCGAAAGCUAGGGUAGCAAACGGGAUUAGAUACCCUCGUAGUC